rnacentral:rRNA from 1 species
GAUGAACGCUAGCGGCAGGCUUAACACAUGCAAGUCGAACGGUAACAUGAGAGCUUGCUCUUGAUGACGAGUGGCGCACGGGUGCGUAACGCGUAUGCAAUCUACCCUUUUCUGGAGAAUAGCCCUUGGAAACGAGGAAUAAUACUCCAUAGUAUAACGAUUUCGCAUGUUAUUGUUAUUAAAGCUUCGGCGGAAAAGGAUGAGCAUGCGUCCCAUUAGUUAGUUGGUAAGGUAACGGCUUACCAAGGCAACGAUGGGUAGGGGGCCUGAGAGGGUUAUCCCCCACACUGGUACUGAGACACGGACCAGACUCCUACGGGAGGCAGCAGUGAGGAAUAUUGGUCAAUGGACGAAAGUCUGAACCAGCCAUGCCGCGUGCAGGAUGACUGCCCUAUGGGUUGUAAACUGCUUUUAUAUAGGAAGAAACCCCCGAACGUGUUCGGGGCUGACGGUACUAUAAGAAUAAGGACCGGCUAACUCCG